rnacentral:rRNA from 1 species
UACGUAGGGUGCAAGCGUUGUCCGGAAUUAUUGGGCGUAAAGAGCUCGUAGGCGGAUUGUUAAGUGAGGGGUGAAAUCCCAGGGCUCAACCCUGGAACUGCCUCUCAUACUGGCAAUCUCGAGUUCGAGAGAGGUGAGUGGAAUUGCGAGUGUAGAGGUGAAAUUCGUAGAUAUUCGCAGGAACACCAGUGGCGAAGGCGGCUCACUGGCUCGAUACUGACGCUGAGGUGCGAAAGCGUGGGGAGCAAACAGG